rnacentral:rRNA from 1 species
UGGGGAAUAUUGCGCAAUGGGCGAAAGCUGACGCAGCGACGCCGCGUGAGGGAUGAAGGUCUUCGGAUCGUAAACCUCUGUCAGCAGGGAAGAACGGUCACUGUGCUAAUCAGCAGUGAAUUGACGGUACCUGCAAAGGAAGCACCGGCUAACUCCGUGCC